rnacentral:rRNA from 1 species
UACGUAGGGGGCUAGCGUUGUCCGGAAUCAUUGGGCGUAAAGCGCGUGUAGGCGGCCCGAUAAGUCCGCUGUGAAAGUCCAGGGCUCAACCUUGGGAUGCCGGUGGAUACUGUCGGGCUCGAGUCCGGAAGAGGCGAGUGGAAUUCCUGGUGUAGCGGUGAAAUGCGCAGAUAUCAGGAAGAACACCAAUGGCGAAGGCAGCUCUCUGGGACGGUACUGACGCUGAGACGCGAAAGCGUGGGGAGCGAACAGG